UUCAGCGAAUUGAAAGAUGGGCUUUUAAGGCUCUGGUGGAGUACUACCUAUAAAUCAAUCAUCCUCAUUGAGAGCUUCUCUUCAAGUGGCCAUCACUGUUAAUAUCUAAAACACAGCCUCAUAUAAUCCUGUAUGAUUUAGUGACAGAGCAUUACAGAGGUCUAUUACAUUACAGAGAAUCAAUAAGGCAACCAGCAGAGAUCUGGAAGUACAGUCCAAUGGAGUCGAUUACAAAUAAACAAUCCUAAUAUAAAAUGAGGCAUCUGUUUAUUUGGUUUGAUCGGAAAGAAUGGGCCUGAAACCCACUCACAGCAACAACAAAUUACUCACAGAGCAAUGCAUUUCAAUACAUGAAACUAUCAAGUCAGUGGCAGAGUUAAACAGUCCCUUCACAGCUCUUGUCGUCAAUGCUUGAAGAGCAGGAAAUCAAACAGCAUCAAACCAAAGGG